CGCGGCCACGCCGUUAAACCCCAACUUCUGAAUGUUGACCUCGGAUCAGGUAGGAAUACCCGCUGAACUUAAGCAUAUC
rnacentral:rRNA from 1 species